AAUAGAUACCCGGGUAGUCCACGCCGUAAACGAUGGAUACUAGCUGUUUGAGCGCAAGUUUGAGUGGCUAAGCGAAAGUGAUAAGUAUCCCACCUGGGGAGUACGGGCGCAAGCCUGAAACUCAAAGGAAUUGACGGGGGCCCGCACAAGCGGUGGAGCAUGUGGUUUAAUUCGAUGAUACGCGAGGAACCUUACCAGGGCUUAAAUGUAGAUUGACGUAUUUGGAAACAGAUAUUUCUUCGGACAAUUUACAAGGUGCUGCAUGGUUGUCGUCAGCUCGUGCCGUGAGGUGUCAGGUUAAGUCCUAUAACGAGCGCAACCCCUGUUGUUAGUUGCCAGCGAGUAGUGUCGGGAACUCUAGCAAGACUGCCAGUGUAAACUGUGAGGAAGGUGGGGAUGACGUCAAAUCAUCACGGCCCUUACGUCCUGGGCCACACACGUGCUACAAUGGCCGGUACAGAGAGCAGCCACUUAGCGAUAAGGAGCGAAUCUAUAAAGCCGGUCACAGUUCGGAUCGGAGU
rnacentral:rRNA from 1 species